AGCUUUUUAGUUUAUUUAAAAAUGUUUGUUUGUGGUACAAAAGAAUGGGGGGCUU
rnacentral:tRNA from 1 species